AAAAUGCGAUAAGUAAUGUGAAUUGCAGAAUUCAGUGAAUCAUCGAAUCUUUGAACGCACAUUGCGCCCGCCAGUAUUCUGGCGGGCAUGCCUGUUCGAGCGUCAUUUCAACCCUCAAGCCCCCGGGUUUGGUGUUGGGGAUCGGGCUGCGGUUCUACCGCGUCCCGGCCCCGAAAUCUAGUGGCGGUCUCGCUGCAGCCUCCAUUGCGUAGUAGCUAACACCUCGCAACUGGAACGCGGCGCGGCCAAGCCGUUAAACCCCCAACUUCUGAAUGUUGACCUCUGAUCAGGUAGGAAUACCCACUGAACUUAAGC
rnacentral:misc_RNA from 1 species